AUAACAAUACAGGACUCUUUCCAGGCCCUGUAAUUGGAAUGAGUACACUUUAAAUCCUUUAAUGAGGAUCUAUUGGAGGGCAAGUCUGGUGCAGAGCGACUGACCCGUGCGUGCUGCAGCUGAAA
rnacentral:rRNA from 1 species